rnacentral:rRNA from 1 species
GCUAAGGUCCCAAAGUGUACGUUAAGUGGAAAAGGAUGUGGAGUUGCUUAGACAACCAGGAUGUUGGCUUAGAAGCAGCCACCAUUUAAAGAGUGCGUAAUAGCUCACUGGUCGAGUGACUCUGCGCCGAAAAUGUACCGGGGCUAAACGUACCACCGAAGCUGUGGGACGACUUACGUCGUCGGUAGGGGAGCGUUCUAAGGGCGUCGAAGCUAGACCGGAAGGACUAGUGGAGCGCUUAGAAGUGAGAAUGCCGGUGUGAGUAGCGAAAACAGAGGUGAGAAUCCUCUGCACCGAAAGCCUAAGGUUUCCUGAGGAAGGCUCGUCCGCUCAGGGUUAGUCGGGACCUAAGCCGAGGCCGAAAGGCGUAGGCGAUGGACAACAGGUUGAUAUUCCUGUACCACCUCCUCACCGUUUGAGCAAUGGGGGGACGCAGGAGGAUAGGGUCAGCGCGCGACUGGUUGUGCGCGUCCAAGCAGUUAGGCGCCUCAAGUAGGCAAAUCCGCUUGAGUAGGCUGAGCUGUGAUGGCGAGGGAAAUGUAGUACCGAAGUGCCUGAUUCCACACUGCCAAGAAAAGCCUCUAGCGAGGUGAGAGGUGCCCGUACCGCAAACCGACACAGGUAGGCGAGGAGAGAAUCCUAAGGUGCGCGGGAGAACUCUCGUUAAGGAACUCGGCAAAAUGACCCCGUAACUUCGGGAGAAGGGGUGCUCCCUCGGGUGAACAGCCCAGGGGAGCCGCAGUGAAAAGGCCCAAGCGACUGUUUAUCAAAAACACAGGUCUCUGCGAAGCCGUAAGGCGAAGUAUAGGGGCUGACACCUGCCCGGUGCUGGAAGGUUAAGGGGAGCGCUUAGCGCAAGCGAAGGUGCGAACCGAAGCCCCAGUAAACGGCGGCCGUAACUAUAACGGUCCUAAGGUAGCGAAAUUCCUUGUCGGGUAAGUUCCGACCCGCACGAAAGGUGUAACGACUUGGGCACUGUCUCAACGAGAGACCCGGUGAAAUCAUAGUACCUGUGAAGAUGCAGGUUACCCGCGACAGGACGGAAAGACCCCGUGGAGCUUUACUGCAGCCUGAUAUUGAAUGUUGGUGCGACAUGUACAGCAUAGGUGGGAGACUGAGAAGCCUGGACGCCAGUCUAGGUGGAGUCGCCGUUGGGAUACCACCCUUGUCGUACUGAGAUUCUAACCCGCACCCCUGAUCGGGGUGGGAGACAGUGUCAGGUGGGCAGUUUGACUGGGGCGGUCGCCUCCCAAAGCGUAACGGAGGCGCCCAAAGGUUCCCUCAGAAUGGUUGGAAAUCAUUCGAAGAGUGUAAAGGCAGAAGGGAGCUUGACUGCGAGACCUACAAGUCGAGCAGGGACGAAAGUCGGGCUUAGUGAUCCGGUGGUUCCGAAUGGAAGGGCCAUCGCUCAACGGAUAAAAGCUACCCCGGGGAUAACAGGCUUAUCUCCCCCAAGAGUCCACAUCGACGGGGAGGUUUGGCACCUCGAUGUCGGCUCAUCGCAUCCUGGGGCUGUAGUCGGUCCCAAGGGUUGGGCUGUUCGCCCAUUAAAGCGGUACGCGAGCUGGGUUCAGAACGUCGUGAGACAGUUCGGUCCCUAUCCGUCGCGGGCGUAGGAAAUUUGAGAGGAGCUGUCCUUAGUACGAGAGGACCGGGAUGGACGCACCGCUGGUGUACCAGUUGUCCCGCCAGGGGCACAGCUGGGUAGCUAUGUGCGGAAGGGAUAAGCGCUGAAAGCAUCUAAGCGUGAAGCCCCCCUCAAGAUGAGAUUUCCCAUCGCGUCAAGCGAGUAAGAUCCCUUGAAGAUGACAAGGUAGAUAGGUCCGAGGUGGAAGCGUGGCGACACGUG